rnacentral:rRNA from 1 species
UACGUAGGGGCAAGCGUUGUCCGGAUUCAUUGGCGUAAAGAGCGUGUAGGCGGCCAGGUAGGUCGGUUGUGAAACUGGAGGCUCAACCUUCAGAGGUCGACCGAAACCAUCUGGCUAGAGUCCGGAGAGGAGAGUGGAAUUCCUGGUGUAGCGGUGAAAUGCGCAGAUAUCAGGAAGAACACCCGUGGCUAAGGCGGCUCUCUAGUACGGUACUGACGCUGAGACGCGAAAGCGUGGGGAGCGAACAGG